GUCCAGACUCCUACGGGAGGCAGCAGUGGGGAAUAUUGCACAAUGGGGGAAACCCUGAUGCAGCGACGCCGCGUGAGUGAAGAAGUAUUUCGGUAUGUAAAGCUCUAUCAGCAGGGAAGAAAAAAGACGGUACCUGACUAAGAAGCCCCGGCUAACUACGUGCCAGCAGCCGCGGUAAUACGUAGGGGGCAAGCGUUAUCCGGAUUUACUGGGUGUAAAGGGAGCGUAGACGGCGCGGCAAGUCUGAAGUGAAAGGCAGGGGCUUAACCCCUGAACUGCUUUGGAAACUGUUAAGCUGGAGUGCAGGAGAGGUAAGUGGAAUUCCUAGUGUAGCGGUGAAAUGCGUAGAUAUUAGGAGGAACACCAGUGGCGAAGGCGGCUUACUGGACUGUAACUGACGUUGAGGCUCGAAAGCGUGGGGAGCAAACAGGAUUAGAUACCCCUGUAUC
rnacentral:rRNA from 1 species